rnacentral:rRNA from 1 species
CGUGUAGGCGGCCUGACAGGUCUGCUGUGAAAACUCGAGGCUCAACCUCGAGAUGUCGGCGGAAACCGUCUGGCUAGAGUCCGGAAGAGGAGAGUGGAAUUCCUGGUGUAGCGGUGAAAUGCGCAGAUAUCAGGAAGAACACCUAUGGCGAAGGCAGCUCUCUGGGACGGUACUGACGCUGAGACGCGAAGCGUGGGAGCGAACA